rnacentral:rRNA from 1 species
ACUCCUACGGGAGGCAGCAGUGGGGAAUAUUGCACAAUGGGGAAAGCCAUCGAUGCAGCAACGACCGCGUGAGUGAUGACGGUCUUCGGAUUGUAAAGCUCUGUCUUCAGGGACGAUAAUGACGGUACCUGAGGAGGAAGCCACGGCUAACUACGUGCCAGCAGCCGCGGUAAUACGUAGGUGGCAAGCGUUGUCCGGAUUUACUGGGCGUAAAGGGAGCGUAGGUGGAUAUUUAAGUGGGAUGUGAAAUACUCGGGCUUAACCUGGGUGCUGCAUUCCAAACUGGAUAUCUAGAGUGCAGGAGAGGAAAGUAGAAUUCCUAGUGUAGCGGUGAAAUGCGUAGAGAUUAGGAAGAAUACCAGUGGCGAAGGCGACUUUCUGGACUGUAACUGACACUGAGGCUCGAAAGCGUGGGGGAGCAAACAGGAUUAGAUACCCUGGUAGGUCAGUC